CUUUAAAUUGGUAAGAACUCUUUGUUCUCUUAACUGAACAUUGAGACAGAAUGCGUGUUCCUAGUGGGCCAUUUUUGGUAAGCAGAACUGGCGAUGAGGGAUGAACCUAACGUUGAGUUAAGGUGCCCAACUAUACGCUCAUGAGAUACCACAAAAGGUGUUGAUUCAUCUAAACAGCAGGACGGUGGACAUAAAAGUCGUCAUCCGCUAAGGAGUGUGUUACAACUCACCUGCCGAAUGAAUUAGCCCUGAAAAUGGAUGGCGCUAAAGCGUAUGACCGAUACUCAACCAUCAAUACAAAAGAAAGUAGUGAUGAGUAGGAGGGCGUGGGUGUUGUAAGAAGAUUAUAGGCGUGAGCCUGAUUGGAACGACAUCUAGUGCAGAUCUUGGUGGUAGUAGCAAAUAGCCAAUUGGAAACGUUGGCGGCCGAAGUGGAGAAGGGAG
rnacentral:rRNA from 1 species